rnacentral:rRNA from 1 species
UGGCGGCGUGCCUAACACAUGCAAGUCGUACGAGAAAAUUCGCUUCGGCGGGUGAGUAGAGUGGCGCACGGGUGAGUAACGCGUGGAUAAUCUGCCUUUAAGCUGGGAAUAACUCACCGAAAGGUGGGCUAAUACCCGAUAAUGCUAUGUUACCAUGGUGGCAUAGCCAAAGAGAGCCUCUACAUGUAAGCCUUCACUUAAAGAUGAGUCCGCGUACCAUUAGCUAGUUGGUAGGGUAAUGGCCUACCAAGGCGACGAUGGUUAGCUGGUCUGAGAGGAUGAUCAGCCACACUGGAACUGAGACACGGUCCAGACUCCUACGGGAGGCAGCAGUGGGGAAUAUUGGGCAAUGGGCGAAAGCCUGACCCAGCAACGCCGCGUGAGGGAAGAAGGUUUUCGGAUUGUAAACCUCUGUCCUUGGGGACGAAGAAAGUGACGGUACCCAAGGAGGAAGCCCCGGCUAACUACGUGCCAGCAGCCGCGGUAAUACGUAGGGGGCAAGCGUUGUCCGGAAUUACUGGGCGUAAAGGGUGCGUAGGCGGUUUUUUAAGUCAG